rnacentral:rRNA from 1 species
GACGAACGCUGGCGGCGCGCCUAACACAUGCAAGUCGAGCGAGAACCGGAGCUUCGGCUCCGGGGACAGCGGCGAACGGGUGAGUAACACGUGGAUAACCUGCCCUCGGCACCGGAAUAGCCCGGGGAAACCCGGAUUAAUGCCGGAUAGCCCCACAACCCUGCGGGGAACGGGGGAAAAGGUAGCUUCGGCACCUGGCCGAGGAUGGGUCCGCGGUGGAUUAGCUUGUUGGCGGGGUAAUGGCCCACCAAGGCGACGAGCCAUAGCUGGUCUGAGAGGACGAUCAGCCACACUGGGACUGAGACACGGCCCAGACUCCUACGGGAGGCAGCAGUGGGGAAUCUUGCGCAAUGGGCGAAAGCCUGACGCAGCGACGCCGCGUGCGGGAAGAAGGCCUUCGGGUUGUAAACCGCUUUCAGGAGAGACGAAGCUACUCGGGUUAACAGCCCAGAGGGUGACUGUACCUCCAGAAGAAGCCCCGGCUAACUACGUGCCAGCCGCCGCGGUAAUAC